rnacentral:rRNA from 1 species
ACGGGAGGCAGCAGUGAGGAAUAUUGGUCAAUGGACGGAAGUCUGAACCAGCCAAGUCGCGUGAAGGAUGAAGGUAUUAUGUAUUGUAAACUUCUUUAGACGUAGAGAAAUAAGCCCCUCGUGAGGGGUGAUGCUAGUAUACGUAGAAUAAGGAUCGGCUAACUCCGUGCCAGCAGCCGCGGUAAUACGGAGGAUCCGAGCGUUAUCCGGAUUUAUUGGGUUUAAAGGGUGCGCAGGCGGCGCGUCAAGUCAGCGGUAAAAUGUCGGUGCUCAACGCCGGCCGGCCGUUGAAACUGUCGUGCUCGAGUUCGUGCGAGGAGAGCGGAAUGCGUGGUGUAGCGGUGAAAUGCAUAGAUAUCACGCAGAACGCCGAUUGCGAAGGCAGCCCUCCAGCACUGGACUGACGCUGAGGCACGAAAGCGUGGGUAUCGAACAGGAUUAGAUACCCUGGUA